rnacentral:lncRNA from 1 species
AUUUUUGAAAUAUUUUCCAUUUUGAAAUUGGAAAGCUUAUACUGCAGACCCAGGCAUUUCUGCUCUGUUCCCCCUGUCCCAGAGAUGUCAUCAUGUCUUCAUUCAAACACUGCACUGCCCAGCAGAGAAGCGCCUCACAAAGAAACAUAAAAGACAAGUACCAGGGAAAGACAUGAUUCUGUGGAAUAAAAAGAUGAAAACCAGCCAUGACCACAUGAAAAUAAAAGAAGAUAAAGAUCAUUUCUUGAACAAUACCUUCACAUCACCAGAGCUGGGGAAAGUGGAAAGAGACAGAAAACUGUUGAGGAAGAUGGCAGCAUGAAUCAAAGACAUGGACUAAUAACUUGUAAUGAGAGACGGAUAAAUGUGGAACCCCCAGGCAUGUCUCUGCUCAGCGUUCCCAUCAGGUGCAGUGGCCUGUUAUGGAUAAAGGAGGAAGUGACUCACGAAGAGCAGGUUUGCUCUAAGAACAGAAGGAGCAAGUGUUGCAAGAAGAGGAGGGAUUUUGGAGCCGACGCUUUGAUGAUAAAAUUGGAUUGAAAGAGAGGCCACUGAUGGUUGAAGGUAAGAGUGACUAUUUAUAACCAAAACCUCUGGAUCUGUGAAUUGGGAUGGUGUCUUUUCAUAGAGACAGUUGUCACUCUGGUAUGAUUAUAAUAUGGAUCUUUGACUGUUGUUCAUUCGCUGAUAAUGUAUUCAUUCUAUGCUGAGCCAAGCUCCA